rnacentral:misc_RNA from 1 species
AAGUCGUAACAAGGUAACCGUAGGUGAACCUGCGGUUGGAUCAUUACAAAAAAUAAAUACUUUAAACAGGGUGAGAUUCAUUUUCUCCCUGCUUAACUGUAUUAACUUUUCGAAUCAUUUGCGAAAACCAAGCAAAUGAUGAGAAAAAAACACAACACAUAAUGUGAAACGCUUCUGUCUCUGGCGAGCGGGCAGUCUAAGCAACUGCUUGUCAGCAGGACUCCCCCCUUCUUGGGAGGGUUCCUGCCGUGGACAACUCGUCAAACCCCCAAACUAUUUAACAUUUGCUGUACAUAAUUU